GGGCCGUUAGCUUAGCUGGUAUAGCGCCGCCUUUGCAUGGCGGAGGUCGCCGGUUCGAAUCCGGCACGGUCCA
rnacentral:tRNA from 1 species